UACGGAGGGAGCUAGCGUUGUUCGGAAUUACUGGGCGUAAAGCGCGCGUAGGCGGCUUUGUAAGUUAGAGGUGAAAGCCCGGGGCUCAACCCCGGAACUGCCUUUAAGACUGCAUCGCUAGAAUCCGGGAGAGGUGAGUGGAAUUCCGAGUGUAGAGGUGAAAUUCGUAGAUAUUCGGAAGAACACCAGUGGCGAAGGCGGCUCACUGGACCGGCAUUGACGCUGAUGUGCGAAAGCGUGGGGAGCAAACAGG
rnacentral:rRNA from 1 species